UUAACUUAUUUGUAUUUUCACUCAGACUUCAAUCUUCAGACAGAGUUCGAGGUGUCUUCGGCGGGCGCGGGCCCGGGGGCGGAUGCCCCCCGGCGGCCGUGAGGCGGGCCCGCCGAAGCAACAAGGUACGAUAAACACGGGUGGGAGGUUGGACCCAGAGGGCCCUCACUCGGUAAUGAUCCUUCCGCAGGUUCACCUACGGAAA
rnacentral:misc_RNA from 1 species